GUUUGAAUUGUCCCUGGAAAUGGUGAAGCGCCCCUUCACUUUCUCCAAGUAGCGAAUGUCAGCUGAAGCACCAGAUAUUUGUGCCACCCACUCCAAGCCUUUUCCUGGUGCUUGUCUCACCCAGUGCAUGUAAUAGCUGCUGAAGGUGAACCCGGAGGCUCGACAGGUAAGGCGGAGGGACUCUCCAGGCUUUUUUGUAUCCCCUCCAGACUCCACCAGCUGAAUCUCCGAUUGGAUGCCUAGAAAAAAAAGAGAUAUCAAUUAUCGCUUCUGCAUAUUAUUAGCAGUCUGGCUGUCCAACUCUUGUUUAUUUGAAAGGAUGGAUUUACCUCUAAAAACGGCUGAACAGAAAACAAGCUGAAGCAGAACUAUCAUUUUUGCCAUCUAAUGCCAGGAAAGGUUUGAACAAAUUCUGGCCCCACGUAUUCAGGGUCCUGUGGCUGAGGAAGGCAGGGUGCCUGGUGGAUUUAAAGAGGAAGCAAUCUCCAAUAAUUUGCAUAUGUAGUAAGGUAAAAGCACCACUACAGCUGUUGGGCAAACUAUGGUUCUGAGGGCAAGCCUAGUCUAUAUAACAAGCUAUUAUUUUCCAGUGUCUAGUUUAGCAGUUGUUACCACAGUAGGUUUGAAUAUUCCUCUUAGGAUCAAAGAGCAAAAUGGGGCUUGGGUAUUAGGUUGCCAUCUUUCUUUUCUUUUCUUUUCUUUUCUUUUCUUUUCUUUUCUUUUCUUUUCUUUUCUUUUCUUUUCUUUUCUUUUUGUCUUUCUUAAAGAUGGGGAAAUAAUGUUAUUGGCAUCUGGAAAUAAUAGAAUGAAUAAAAGCUGACACCACUUGAAAUAAAAAUCAUCUCGAACAAAAAUAUGGUUUCAAAGCUUUACUUACAGAACUUUCAUAGAAUCAUAGAAUUGUAGCUUGCUCCAAAAUAGACAGAAAACAAUGUUACAUCAAAUAGUUGCAUAAAACCAUGUGUUUCUCCAACCACAAGUUUAGCAUCUUAGUAAUAUAAAAUCACUCCAAACAGAGCUGGGGAAAAAAGCUCUUUCCACACCCAGACUCCAUUAGCCUGAAUUCCAGUCUGAAGCUUUUCUCUCCUGGAGAUACCUCAUUAGGAAACCUUACUUCUAUGGUGGCUUGAGCAAGGACAGAGGAAAGGCGGUGUGGUGGGGGCAGGCUGCCCUGGGUGUCACCACUGAGGAGGGUGAUAAAAUGCCGGGCGGCACUCACCGUGGGGCCUGCAGUGCACAAGCCACACGUCUCUCCUGGGAGUGACGCAGUGGCUUGGGUGCUGGCAGGCUCCGUAUUGCCACAAACGGUCCACCCGCUGCCUCCCCCUCAGCUGUAGGGCAGCUGAGUGGGAGGAGGCAGGCAGUGUCCUUGGAGGCCCCAUGGAGUAUCCUGCCCCGGCUCACUCCACCGCUGGGCACAGGACACGUGCACCGCUGCAGGCGCCCAAUGGGCUUGCUCUGCCGCUGGGCUUCAGAACAAAGGACAACUCCCUAAAAAUGGAGGUUUGCAACUGAAAUCAAGAUACAGGACCGUAUCCCAUAAGAACUGUAUUCCUGAAUAGCACCUCAAAUGCAGUGGUGGAGUUUCAUGCUCCAGCACCGGGGGGCAGAGAUCAGGCGGGGACAGGCCUGGCGCGCAUACAAAGGGCAUGGCGUGCCACCCGCAGGGGCAAGACGUGCGUCCUGGGGCCGUGGUACACCGCCUGUGGGGACUUGGCAGCCGUGAUGAUACCCCAACAGAAUUGCACUGCCAGGGGUGGUGCAUUCCCCCCCCCCGCACGCCUCUUCCUCCACCAGUGCUCAAAUGUUGUCACAUGGUGUGAUUCCUGAAAGCACUGGCAAAAUUACAGCAAGCACAAAAAUCCAGGAUGAUGGAAUUCCAAAUGGAUGUUUUUCUGGAAUACAUUAUCAUGGAAAUGAGUGCUAAGGUUCCACAGGAUUACACUAGAUUUACGGAAGUAGCUUUUGUGUCAUGUGAAAGAGAGAUCUCACCAGAGACAGAAACCAUGUGGAGUGGCACUGUGAUGUAUUGUGCACUUCACGUGGGAGUUGCCCCAUUGGUCCCUGUUUGCUUUUCUUCCCCCCUUGUUAACAAUACAUCCUCCUCUAGCACCUGCAUUCCAGCUGCAAAGGCUGCAAAGCAGGGCUUUUUGUACAAGCAGGAAAGCAGAGGUUGUCACUGUGUCUCUUGAACAGUAAUACAAGGCAGAGUCCUCAGGCUUCAAGCUGGUCAUUUGAAGAUAGGCUGAAGUUUGAGGAUUGUCUCUGGAGAUGGUGAAGCGUCCCUGAACCUUGGAAUUAUACCAUUGGCUACUUCCUGAACCACUUACUCCAGCCACCCACUCCAGUCCUUUCCCAGGAGCCUGACGAAUCCAGUGGAUUUCAUAACUAGUAAAGGUGAAUCCUGAAGCCUUACAGGAGAGGCGGAGGGAGCCUCCAGGAGCUACAGCACCUCCUCCAGUCUCCACCAACUGAACCUCUGAGUGACAGCCUGUAAAAUAGAAGAAAGAUAAUCAGGGGAUACCUGUGUAGAAAAGUGUGCAAGUCUGCAGGAUUUCCAGUGAGAGAAAUAUUACCUGGGAGAGCUGUCAAGAAGAGAAGGAAGUUUAACCAAAGAAUCAUGUCUCUUCUGUGUUGCGGAUUGUUUGGAUCACCUUCUUGACUGGCUCAGUCUUAGCUGGCUGGAGGUGGCAAGACUGAAUUGGAAAGGGUAGCUUUUAAGGCAGUGAUGUGGUUCAACUGAUUUGCAUGUGCUUUAUAUAAUAACCUCCUUCCCUCUUAAUUCACAAUUCUUUCCCAGCUAAAGGGCCACAAAGAAGAAGAAGAGCAAUUUACAUGUGGUGCUGUGUCCCCAUAGCCCUGCACGUCACGGCUGACCAAAAGACCACUCAAUACUACAGUGUAUGGUUCAAAUUAGGCGACAACUUUAUUGAAUGCAACUGUAAGGGGCCUGACUGCUAAUUGAUCCACACAGGGGUCAAACCAAUGUUGAGGAGGCCUUAUUACAUACAUCAGGUGCCACUUCAUAGAAUCAUAGAAUCAUAGAGUUGGAAGAGACCGCAAGGGCCUUCAAGUCCAACCCCCUGCCAAGCAGGAAACACCAUCAGAGCACUCCUGACAUAUGGUUGUCAAGACUCUGCUUAAAGACCUCCAAAGAAGGAGACUCACCACACUCCUUGGCAGCAAAUUCCACUGUCGAACAGCUCUUACUGUCAGGAAGUUCUUCCUAAUGUUUAGGUGGAAUCUUCUUUCUUGUAGUUUGGAUCCAUUGCUCCGUGUCCGCUUCUCUGGAGCAGCAGAAAACAACCUUUCUCCCUCCUCUAUGUGACAUCCUUUUAUAUAUUUGAACAUGGCUAUCAUAUCACCCCUUAACCUCCUCUUCUCCAGGCUAAACAUGCCCAGCUCCUUAGCCGUUCCUCAUAAGGCAUCGUUUCCAGGCCUUUGACCAUUUUGGUUGCCCUCCUCUGGACACGUUCCAGUUUGUCAGUGUCCUUCUUGAACUGUGGUGCCCAGAACUGGACACAGUACUCCAGGUGAGGUCUGACCAGAGCAGAAUACAGUGGCACUAUUACUUCCCUUGAUCUAGAUGCUAUACUCCUAUUGAUGCAGCCCAGAAUUGCAUUGGCUUUUUAGCUGCCGCGUCACACUGUUGGCUCAUGUCAAGUUUGUGGUCAACCAAGACUCCUAGAUCCUUUUCACAUGUACUGCUCUCAAGCCAGGUGUCCCCAUCUUGUAUUUGUGCCUCUCAUUUUUUUGCCCAAGUGCAAUACUUUACAUUUCUCCCUGUUAAAAUUCAUCUUGUUUGUUUUGGCCCAGUUCUCUAAUCUGUCAAGGUUGUUUUGAAGUGUGAUCCUGUCCUCUGGGGUGUUAGCCACCCCUCCCAGUUUGGUGUCAUCUGCAAAUUUGAUCAGGAUGCCCUUGCAGUCCAUCAUCCAAGUCGUUGAUACACAAGAACCACCAACUCAAGAAGUGCUAUGGUCCUACCCCCCGAUAUAUCCAGAAAUGCAUUUAUCUGGGGACAGCUUGCAUCAUUAUGGUAAAAAAAGACAUAUAGAAAGACAUUAUUUUAAGAGGGAACACUUUGUAUAUUGGUGAAAUUGCAUACAUAAAUGUAUAGAAGGGAGAAAAAUUGCACCAAGAUGCUGACAAGCUUUCAUGAGGACAAAUAAAAUAUUACCAAAACCAGUAGAGAAGCAGCACCAGAAUUGGUGACUCCUUCUUGUGAGAUCUCAUUAGAUCUUGCCGGAACUGGCCAUUAAACAUAAGUAAGGGUAUCUUUUGCUGGGGGCAGGCGGAAGAAGGUACAGCAGGAACACUUCCCAUUUCUCCAAAGGAGGUGAAAUGGGGUGCACUGCCCCUGUUGCAGCUGACCUAGGGAGUGUCCUCAGGUUUAAGGGUGUUCAUUUGCAGAUAGAGCAGGCUGUUUGAAUUGUUCCUGGAGAUGGUGAAUCUUCCUUUGACGGAAUCCAAGUAGUAAAUGUAAGAUGAACCAGUAGAUAUAUAGGCCACCCAUUCCAGUCCCUUUCCAGCAGCCUGCCGCACCCAGUUCAUCCUGCUGAAGGUGUACCCGGAGGCUCGACAGGUAAGGCGGAGGGACUCUCCAGGCUUUUUUGCAUCCCCUCCAGACUCUACCAGCUGAAUCUCCGAUUGGAUGCCUAGAAAAAAAGAGAUAUUAAUGAGCUCUUCUGCAUAUUAUUAGCAGUCAGGUUGCCCAAUUCUUGUUUAUUUGAAAGGAUGGAUUUACCUCUAAAAAUAGCUGAAAAGAAAACAAGAUGAAGCAAAGCUAUCAUUUUUGCCAUCUAAUGCCAGGAGAGGGUUGAGCAAAUUGUGGUCCCGGGUAUUCAGGGUCCUGUGGCUGAGGAAGGGAGGGUGUCUGAUGGAUUUAAAGAUGAAGCAAUCUCAAAUAAUUUGCAUAUGUAGUAAGGUAAAAGCACCACUACAGCUGUUGGGCAAACUAUGGCUCUGAAGGCAAGCCUCAGUCUAUAUCACAAGCUAUUAUUUUCCAAUGUACAGUUUAGUAAUUGUUCCCACAGUAUGUUUGUAUAUCGCUGUCAGGAAAAAAAGAGCAAAAUGGGGCUUGGCAAAGUAGAUAGCCAUCUUCCUUUCUUUUUCUGUCUUUCUAAAGAUGGGAAGAUAAAUUCACCUGUAAUGUGUGAAAUGGCUAAUAUCAAUGCCAUUUUUACACAAACCAGUCUCUCUGUUAACUUAUGUGUAUGCAGAAAAAUCCUAUUCUGUGCAGAGAUUUAGGAGAAAUUUGUGUUGUCCACUUUUCAGAAUAAUUCAACCAAGCAGAAUCUCUGGGACUUGCUUGUGGAUCAGAAGGCAACUCCCUAUGGCUUGUCCACACUUCCACUUGUCCUGUUCCUUGAAUUCAUGGGUCAGAAUGGUUUGCCUUGCUUUCUAGGCAUGAGUCUGAGCGGUUUUGCCUUUGUCCCACCACUUUCCCUGGAAAAACUGUUCUUAACAUUAAAUGCAUCUAUAUUGUCAUAAGUUUGGGAGACUUCCCUGAAAUACCUGGAUGCAGUAAAGUGUUAGGAAUUUCAGUAAAGUGUUAAAUUCUGGGUCUAGAGAGGCAAGCCUGGGCUGUGUGCAUGGAGGUCCUAGGCUGCCUGAAAAGGGUCAGAGAGGGUCAGACAUGAUAUUUGGGGUCUCUUGGCAAAAUUACAGCAAGCACAAAAAUCAAGGACAAGGGAAUUGAAAUUGGUUGUUUUACAUUAUCAUGGAAAUGAGUGCUAAGAUUCCACAGGAUUACACUUGAUUUACAGAAGUAGCUGUUGUGUCAUGAGAAAAAAUCUCCUCAGAGACAGAAAUCAUGAGGUCAGGAAACACUGGGAGAAUGGAAUGAAACACUGUCUGAAUGCAGCCUUAGAGAAGAACAGCGAUGUAUUGUGUAUUUCACAUGGGAGAUGCCUCACAGGGUUCCUGCUUGCUUUCUUUCCUGUCUUGUUGACAAUGCAUCCUCCUCUAGCACCUGCAUUCCAGCUGCAAAGGCUGCAAAGCAGGGCUUUUGUACAAGCAGGAAGGCAGAAGUUGUCACUGUGUCUCUUGAACAGUAAUACAAGGCAGAGUCCUCAGGCUUCAAGCUGGUCAUUUGUAGAUAGGCUGAAGUUUGAGGAUUGUCUCUGGAGAUGGUGAAGCGUCCCUGAACUUUGGAAUUAUACCAUUGGCUACUUCCUGAACCACUUACUCCAGCCACCCAGUCCAGUCCUUUCCCAGGAGCCUGACGAAUCCAGUGGAUUUCAUAACUAGUAAAGGUGAAUCCUGAAGCCUUGCAGGAGAGGCGGAGGGAGCCUCCAGGAGCUACAGCUCCUCCUCCAGUCUCCACCAACUGAACCUCUGAGUGACAGCCUAAAAAAAUGGAGGAAAGAACAUCAGUGGAAACCUGUGUAGAAAAGUGUGCAAGUCUCCAGAGUUUCCAGUGGGAGAAAUAUUAUCUGGGAAAGCUGUCAAGAAGAGAAGGAGGCUUAACCAAAGAAUCAUGUCUCUUCUGUGUUGCAGAUUGUUUGGAUCACCUUCUUGACUGGCUCAGUCUUAGCUGGCUGGAGGUGGCAAGACUGAAUUGGAAAGGGCAGCUUUUAAGGCAGUAAUGUUGUUCAACUGAUUUGCAUGUGCUUCAUAUAAUUACCUCCUUCCCUCUUAAUUCACAAUUCUUUCCCAGCUAAAGGGCCACAGAGAAGAAGAGGAGCAAUUUGCAUGUAGAGGUGCUGUGUCCCCAUAGCCCUGCAGGUCACAGCUGACCAAAAGACCACUCAAGACUACAGUGUAUGGUUCAAUUUAGGUGACAACCUUAUUGAAUGCAACUGUAAGAGGCCUGACUGCUAGUUGAUCAACACAGGGGUCAAACCAAUGGUGAGAGGCCAUAUGACGUACAUCGGUGGUUCUUCACAAGAACCACCAACUCAAGAAGUGCUAUGGUCCUACCCCUAUCCAUAUAUCUGCAGAAACUUGCAUCAUAAUGGUAAAAAGACAUAUAGAAACACAUUAUUUUAAGAGGGAACACUUUGUAUAUUGGUGAAAUUGCAUACAUAAAUGUAUAGAGGGGAGAAAAAUUACACCAAAAUGCUGACAAGCUUUCAUGAGGACAAAAAAAUAAUAAUUGCAAAACCAGUAGAGAAGCAGCACUAGCAUUAGUGACUCCUUCUGAUGAGAUCUCAUGAGAUCUCAUCAGAAGGAGUCACUAAACAUAGGUAAGGGUAUCCUCAGCCGGGGGCAAGCAGAAGAUGGCACAGCAGUAACCCUUCCCAUUUCUCCAAAGGGGUUCACUGCCCCUGUUGCAGCUGACCUAGCUGUGUUUAUUAUAGCUUGGACAGAGAGGCUCCUCAUAUGUAUACCUGGAUCUGUGGGUGAUUUGCGCUCUUUCCCUCCUUCCUCCACCAACUCUUUCGGUACACUGAAAACAAAGACCAUUAUUAUCCAAUGUUGAAAAACAUUAUCUUACAGCAGGGUCAACCCAGAAAGAUUUGAGCCAAAGAGGGCCUUGUCGCUCUUUAGAUUCACUUCCUCUCACUGUGGCUCUCUUGGACAGUAACACACAGCUGUGUCCUCAGGUUUCCAGUUGUUCAUUUGUGAAGAGAGCUGUCUGUUUGAACCAUCCCUGCAGAUGGUGAAUCUUCCUUUAAUAGAAUCCAAGAAGUAAACAGGAGGUGGAGAUGUGCUUAUUUUGGCCACCCAUUUGUGGCCUUGUCCAGGAGCCUUUCACACCCAGUCCAGUGGAGGGGAGACUCCAUGGGGCUUUUAAUGUCCCCUCCAGAUUCCUUGUGCUGGAUUUCUGAAUUGGCAGCUGGGAGGGAACCUGGAUGGUGUCAGUAGGGAGCUUCCUAGAUGUGGGUUGGGAAAUGUUGGACGGUAUGGUAUUGAUGAAGGUGGAGUGAACUUUGCUGUGUUCUGGCUUAGUGGGUAGGAACAGGAUGACCCAAUGGCAACUCACAACAAGGCUGGAUCUGGACCAAAGAAUAAAAGUUUUUCAGUAUUAUUAAUAGCUAUUGUGAAACUAUUAACAGUAAUAAUAUUAAUAGUAUUAAUAAUAAUUGCAUGACCAGGUGGCAACUUCCCCAGCCCCCAGGAACCACCAAAAGGAAGAAUGACUUGUGGCAACGUGUUAUGGAAUUAAAAUUUGGACACAACUUUAUUAAACUUUCAAGUGUAGGAAGACCUUGGCUUAGGCAUUGGGCGUGUGUCCUCCCAGCCCCCCAGCCGGGAGAACUGGGGCUCCUCAGGGUUAUUGGGAUAUGGGGGUGCUCUGCAAGAUGCAUGUGUAUGCAGGCAGCCCACCCCAUAUCCCUGCACGUAGGGUAGUUCACUGACAACCUUUCAGUGUAUGGCCAUUGACACCCAUAUGACAACCCCUUUGAAAGGGGACCCUGGAAUAACCACUGUCGUGGGGGGGUUAGUCACCACUCCCUCCCCCCAAUUUUACGUAGAAAAGACUAAAGGAUUCCGCCCAAGGACUUAAACCAUCAAAUUCGUCAAAGUUGUGACAAAUUGCUAUGGGAAGUCCAAACCUGCCAAUGCAGGAAAAUUUAUUCCCAGUUCUUCAACAGCAACCAGUCAAAACACCGUAGCAGUGCCCACUAAACAGGAAGAAAAUGGCUAACCUGCAAACAAGAAACAUUAAACAAAGGGAGGGUUGGGUGGGUGGGUGAAGUUCCUGACUGGACUGACUGGCCACGGUUGGCUCUACCCCCUAUUUAUAUGACUGGCCCCACCUCCCAGGAGUGUAAAUUGACUAACUGAGGCUGGCUGCGAACCUCCAAAGAAUAAUACUGAGAGGCAGGCCAGGCCACACAACCUGUAAGUUCCCUGGGGUCUGAAGUGCCGCGCGUGAUCCCACAAAGGGCACUCACCGUAUACAGUGUGAGUGCUCAUUAAUAGUAUUAUUAAUAGCUAUUGUUAAACAUCUUCCCUUCUGAUGUCAGCCCUGUUCUGUAAAUUUCUGUUUUGUGGUUCUGUGGUGCCCCCUCUGGGAACUCUUUACUAAAGUGAAUGCAACAAACGGUUGUUGUCUGUGUUGGUUUCUAUUUCCUUCACUGAGCAGCAUCUGCAGUCACAAGACAGGUGUUUACAUUCCACAGUCUGUACUGUUGGAGUUUCUCACGGGAAAGGGAGACUGGAUGUGACGUACACUGGUUUCCUGUUUUUCACUCUGUGAUUCUCUCCGAGCUGUGAAGGAGAGAGGAUGCAUUUUCUGCUCCUGCAGAGGCAAGAUGUCUUUCUGUAAUAUACCAGCUUUGAACUGUAAAUAAAGCAAUAUAGAGUAUGUAGCACGUAUUACUCAUCCUUCCGCUGGGCACGACAGGCUCUGCUUUAAAUCAACACGUGGUUAUGGACUCCAGAGGUCGAAUCGGAGUGCCGGCAAAGGAUCGGAAUGCAGAGGGACGGAUCGGAAAGGAAUCUGCUCUGCGCGUAGAAGUGAUUGAUGAGGUAUGUGCUACUGCUCCGGGCAGCCUGCCAGCUUCAAGUUAAUGGCUUUAUGGCUGGACUUUGAACUUUUAAAGCCGGUUUUGCCGGGAAUAGGCAAAAGGCUCCCAGGCACAAGUCACUAUGCUGGGGAAAUCGAAAGUAACUUUUAAGUGUGCCUUUGUGAUAAAGCAGCUGCAGCAGUGACGCAGCAAGAUUUAAAGCAGCAUAGAUAUGACGCUGAAGGCUAAUGCCAGAGUCAUGAUGGCCCUUCAGGAUGCUUGUGGGAUUCCUAAGCUCAACAAGAAAAAUUACAGCGACUGGGUUCAGUAUGCAGAGGCAAUUCUGCGGAAAGAGGGUUUGUUUGAGGUGAUUACAGGAACCCCCAGUUCCAGUUACAGAUGCAUGGGAAGCUAAGGAUUCCAAAGCAAGGGAACUCUUACAUUGAUAGUAUCCCCAGAAGAGCUCUGUCUAUUGCGUGAUAAGACCUCAGCCAGAGAAAUUUGGGACGCUCUGAGAGAGGCUCACUUAAGGACAGAAGCUGGAUCCACUAUGUUUUAUUUUAACAAGCUGCAUAAUAUGGCUCUUGCUGAAGGUGGAGAUGUGCGUUUACAUCUAAUGGAGAUGCAAAAUCUGAGACAUGAGCUGCAACAGAGAGGACUCAACUUUCCAGAGGCUGUGUAUUCUUUCAUGAUACUACAAUCUUUGGGUUCAGGUUGGGAGUCUGUUGCAACCCAGAUUGCUGUGCAACCAACUGCUCAGCUGACAGUGGACUUUGUUACUGCCGUGAUUUUAAAUGAAGCAGAUCGCCGGGGUGCUAGCUGCAUGGGCAAGGGAGUCUUCACAGACGUCAUCCCAUAGUGCAGUGGAACCACCAGAUGGCGCCAAAGCUUUGAAGGCAGUGAAAUGCUACUCGUGUGGACGUCUAGGCCAUAUGAAGAGGGAAUGCAGACAUCCCAGGGCCAAGACAGAGCAGCGCAGCGAAGCUCAUCGCGCGGAAAGGCCGAGGCAAAGGCAAGGUCCGGUGUCUAGGACAACGCAGCACAAGGCUAUGGUUUCACGCUUCACUCCAAAGGUUGCAGAGGUCCAGAAGACGUCUAGAUCUUUCUUCGUUGUUGAUUCAGCGGCCACCCACCACAUGUGCAACGAUAAGAAACUGUUUGUGUCUUUUACACCGCAGGAAGGUGCGAUUCACCAGGCGGAUGACCACACUAUUCCCAGUAAAGGCUACGGAACUGUUGUUCUUCACAGUUUGGACUUAUCGAUACAGAAUGUGCUUUACGUGCCAGACGCCAAACAUAAUCUGCUCAGCGUUGGACAGCUGAAUGAGCGGAACAUUGACGUUUCCUUCAAGAACAAGAAGUGCAUCAUCACAAAGAAAAAUGAUUAUGUAUUGCAUGCAGAAUAUGUUGAUCAUUUGUUUGUUUUGUAUUAUGAUGAUGUGGUGCAGGAUGACACUUGUUGCAUUGCAGGUUCUAACAAAAGUUUGCAUGCAGAAUGUAUUCACGAUUUUCAUCGAAAAUUUGGUCAUUUGCAUUUUGAGGCAGUAUCUAAAAUGCCUGCCUUGGUUGAAGGUAUGACUAUUAAACCCUGCAGGUACCACAUGAAGUGCAAAGCAUGCGCAGCAAACAAGGUGAAAAUGGCUGCGAAAGGUAAGGUGUCUAGUAGGAAAGCUACAGAACCAUACCAGGUUGUUCAUGCUGAUUUGGUUGGACCACUAACGCCCUCUUUGGGUGGAAAUAGAUACUUCAUGGUUCUCAUUGAUGCAUUUUCUAGAUAUAUUUUUGUGUACAAUCUCAAGCAGAAAUCGGAGGCUUUUCCUAGGUUCAAGGAAUUCUGUGCUUGGUUGGAAAAUGUGCAUGGUAAGAAGAUAAAGACUCUUUUCAGUGAUCGCGGGGAAUUCACUUCUCAGCAGUUUGAAGCUUUUCUGACUGAGAAAGGAAUUCAACACGAUUUGUCUAGUCCUCGCUCGCCAUGGCAGAAUGGACUUGCGGAGCGGGCAAAUCAGACAUUGCUUCAAGGGUUAAAGACCUUGCUGCAUGAUGCCAAUCUUCCAGAGAGUUAUUGGGCCGAAUCUCUCUCGUGUUUUGUUUACAGUUACAAUCGCAGGUUAUCUUCAGCGAUUGGUUGUACCCCUAUGAGAAGAUGUUUGGCAGAAGCCAUACAUCAAACACAUGAAGAUUUUGGUUCUGACAUGUGGGUUCGCUCACCACAAAACUCCAAGUUAGACAAGCGUGGAUUGCAUGGUAUCUUUCUAGGUUAUCAGAAAGGGUCUUACAGAAUAAUGAUGACUGACUCUAAGACAAUUAAGCUCACGAGAAGUGUUGAGUACAAUGCAAAGUGGGGGAGAAUGUGGGAAUUUUCCAAUGUUAUCCUGAUGACGGUGAUGAGACUGAGGAUAGUCAAAAGCAACCACAACAGCCCACACCCACUGAUGAAGGUUCUGAGUCUGAAUCUGAAACUGAAUCGGGUGAUUCAGAGGAUUUCGAGAGUGCGAAAGCCUCUAUGCGACCCUCUGAAAGCUCUGAUCAAGAAUUGGAGGAACCAUUGUUCACAAUAGGUCGUUUUUCUCCUAAGAAGGAAGAGGAGAGUGUUGAAGACUUAAGGCUAAUUCGUAGGUCACAGAGAGCCACAAAAGGCAAACCUCCAAAGAGAUUUGCUGAUGAGUUUGCUAAGAUAGCAGUAACAGCUGUUAAAAGCUCCAAGAAGGUAUUUGAACCUUCAAGUUUCCAAGAAAUCCAGGGUUUGGAUUCAAAGGAAGCUGAGCCAUGGUUAAAUGCCAUGAAGGCUGAGCUUGAUUCCUUAGAAAGGAACAAAACAUGGGAGCUAGUUCCAGUAGUUCCAGGAAUGAAACUGCUUGGAAGCAAAUGGGUCUUCAAAGCGAAGACAGAUCAAAAUGGCAAGAUAGUCAGACACAAAGCCAGAUUGGUAGCCAGAGGUUUUGCACAGGUACCAGGUGAAGACUAUCACGAGACCUAUUCACCCACAGUGAGAUAUGAAAGCAUUAGGCUUAUGCUCAAGCUAGCUGCAGAGGAAAAUCUACACAUUAGUCACCAUGAUAUUAAUACAGCUUUUCUGUACGGAUCUCUAGAUGAAUCACUUUAUAUGCUUCCACCUGAUGGCGUACAGGUAAAACAGGGAUUUGUUUGUGCUCUGAAGAAAUCCCUUUAUGGUCUCAAACAAAGUGCACGGUGUUGGCACACAAAACUCACUGAAGUAUUGUUUUCUCUAGGUUUUCAGCAAGGAAAGCUGAUCCAUGUGUAUUUGUCAAAGAGGAGGGGCAAAAGAAACUGUACUGUUUGUUUUAUGUUGAUGAUUUAUUAUUCUUUUGGAAAGAUGUUGCAAUGUACAAUAGCGCCUAGCUCAACUGAAAGAGCACUUUGACAUGAAAGAUCUUGGUGAGGUAAACAACUACCUAUCUCUGGAAAUAGAGAGAGAUCAAGAUGGUAACAUUCUAGUACACCAGUCACGGAAAAUUGCUGAUGUGUUAAGCAAACUAAAUCUGAUGGAUGCUAACCCUGUAGACACACCGAUGACAACAGGUUAUCAGGUAGAUGACACUGAAGAAGCAUUUUCUGACACUACACUGUACAGGAGUGUGCUAGGCAAGCUAAACUUCAUUGCCAGAUGUUCAAGACCAGACAUUGCUGUUAGCUGUAAUUUGCUAAGCAGACAAGUCAACAAUCCUAGUGUCAAGGAUUGGAAAGCUCUGAAACGCAUAGCGCGGUAUUUGAAAGGCACUAUGCAUUACAGACUGAGAUUUAACAAUCAGAAGUCUGGUGGUCUUGAGAUAUUUGCAGAUGCAAGUUUUGGAAGUGACACUACAGACAGGAAAAGUACGUCUGGAGUUUGCUACAUGUACAAUCAGAGUCUGUUUGAUUGGUCAUGCAAGAAGCAAACAACAGUUAGCUUAAGUACUUGUGAAGCUGAACUGAAUGCACUGUCUUAUUCACUUAAGGAUUGUGAAUGGUUAGUACAAUUGUGCAAAGAUAUGAAAAUUCCUGUCAAAUGUCCAAUCCAGGUUUACCAGGACAACAAAGCAUGUUUGGCUUUGCUGAAGUCUGAAGGUUGUAAGCAAAGCACAAAGCACUUACAAUUAAAGUUGCAGCAUGCUAGGGAAUGUAUUCAGAAGGGACUCGUAACGGUGUCCUAUAUGCCAGGUAAUGAAAUUCCUGCUGAUGUAUUGUCCAAGAUUGUAUCAAGGGAUCAACACUGUACCUAUGUGCAGAAGUUGGGUUUGUACUGAUAUUGUGCGAACACGCUGCCCAGUGAUGUUCACAGAAAGGGGGAGGAUGUUGGUUUCUAUUUCCUUCACUGAGCAGCAACUGCAGUCACAAGACAGGUGUUUACAUUCCACAGUCUGUACUGUUGGAGUUUCUCACGGGAAAGGGAGACUGGAUGUGACGUACACUGGUUUCCUGUUUUUCACUGUGUGAUUCUCUCCGAGCUGUCGAGGAGAGAGGAUGCAUUUUCUGCUCCUGCAGAGGCAAGAUGUCUUUCUGUAAUAUACCAGCUUUGAACUGUAAAUAAAGCAAUAUAGAGUAUGUAGCACGUAUUACUCAUCCUUCCGCUGGGCACGACAGGCUCUGCUUUAAAUCAACAGUCUGAGGUCUAGUGAGAUUUGUGUGUCUUGCACAGUAAUACAAUGUCUUCUGCUUUCAGGCUUCUCAUGUGCAGAUAGAUGGAAUCUGGAGCUACCAUCCGAAACCAAGAGUCACAUUUCUAUUGCAGAAGAAUAGCAAUUGACCUCAGAGCUAUUAUACCAAAAGGGCCAUUCCAAUCCUUUGCCAAGUUUCUGCCUGAUCCAGGAAUUACAGUACCUGUUAAUAUCAAGCCCAACAGUGGCACAGAUCAGCUCCUGGCUUUGCAGAAGUUUGUCAACACAAGAGGGGACAAUAUUAAUACUGGCUCAUAAUAGGGAGAUACACUGGGCCACCAAAGUAUGGCAAAUAGCACUUGUGGAAAAAUUAAUUUAAAAACCUAGCAUGAAGACUGUUUUGUAACUGUUCACUUUCACUGUAUUAUGUAAAAAUGAAAACAGAUGACUUCCCUCACAUUAUAAAAGGUUUUUGUUUAACAUAAAUCAUUUAUCACCUUCUAUACGAAUGGUAAUCUGAGAUAAGAAAUUAUGUUAUUUGGAUAUUAUGUUCAUGUAUUGCCUAAAACACCAACCUCUGGGUUAGGGUAGGAUAUUUCAUGUAUAUGAUGUUGCUAUAUCUUACAUGCACAGAACAGAAAACAGAGAUUCUGUUUCUGAAAGACUUUCCCCUUUUGUAUAUAGCCCCAAGAUAGCUUGUCUCACUUUGUGUUGAUUUUCAUUUCACAUGGUUUUGACAUACUUAUUUAUUGAUCGUCAUUUAUUAGAACCACAUUUCUGCAUUCAAAAUCAGUUUCCUCUUUUUGUACACAGCACCAAUUGUUGUGUCUCACUGUGUAUUGCCUGGCACAAAAAUAUACUGCAGAGUUGGCAGCUGCCAGAGUUUUCAGCUGGAAAGAAACCUCAUUCUUGGAAGAAUCUGAAGAAAUGGAUAUUCGGCUCUUCAGAGAAGGGGCAUACCACUUAGUCCCAUCAUAGGGGUGUACUGCUACAAUCCAUUCUAGACCUUUUCCAGCAGCUUGACGGAACCAGUGCCAGACAGACUGCUGAGUGGAGAUGGAGAAACCUGUGACUUUACAGUGCAAGCUGAGGGCCUCUCCUGGUCUCACCAUUCCUGGCCCAGAUGAUACAAGUUGAACAUCUGAGAAGACCCCUUGGAAACAGAGAAGAUUUCAAUGAGUGUUUGAACGUCACGUAAUCACCACUUGAAAUACACUAAUAUUUUGAACUUCCCACAGAAUUUGCGCUUACCUUUUGUAAUGGCCAUCAAUGACAACAAGAACCACAAGAACUUCAUGGUAUUAAGAAAAUAAUGUGCUAGAAAGGUAGGAAAGAUGCGGCUUUGGGUUGGGGAGAAAGGAACAAUUUAUAUUGAAGGAAAUAACACCUGUCCCAAGAAUCCCACAGUCUCCCUGAGGAAUUUGCAUGAGCCCUUCCUUCAACAAGGAGCCAUAUAUAAAAGAGCUGGUAAAAUCUGGGUUAGUGUCAGGGUAAGUUCCUGCCUGCCUUCCAUUGGUAUCAUCUCCUAGUAGCCAAGCUCCCUUCUGGCCCCCCAUACAAUAUCUGAGGGGGCUGCCCCCCAAGUGGAUGAAUACCCUGCAAAUCAAGUGCCUCUCUGUCAAGUGCACUGCCUUGCUACCAGGAUUAAGGGUGCCAGCAUGCGAGAUGUGUGCAAGUGAUGUCAGCAUGCUGCACAGUGUGCUGGUGUCAUGCACACACAUUGUAUGCCAUGCCCAUGCUGUGCUCAAACAUGGUGCAUCAUUGUUACCUCAGUCGCACAUGCUGAAUGCUGUGCACCAUGCCAAUGUGUUGUGCGCACUCUGCAUGGGCUGCAGGAUUAAAGUGAGCAUGUUGUACAUCAUGCAUGCACGGCUGAUGCAUAUUGGGGGGGGGACUGGUUCCCUUGAAAACUUGGGGGCCCUCAGCCCCUCGCUCUCCCCCUCUUAGAUGGCACGUAUGCUUUCCAUGCUCUCUGCUUGGAGCAGCCAAGAGUUUCCUGCUGUUUGGUUCCAAAAGGGUUAUUAGCAGCAGCAGACUGGAAGGGGAGACGGAAGAGAGACAAACUUCUGUUUUCUCUGCUUCCUAGCUCUGCCUCUCUUGCUGGCAAACUUGUGCCACCCAAGAGCCACAUUCCAUUAUUCUGCCACCUUCGGUGUGUCACAUGCCCCUGGUAUAUUGAGACACAGGCAGAAGUAGUAGAGCAUCAAAUGUAAAAUUUCCCUUUAUUUGGUAGACCAGUUUCUACCCACACCUCUCUCUCUGUGGUCUUUCCCAAUUGCAUUUCACAAUACAAUUUUCAUAAUUUGGCUUAUAGAAGGAACCACUCUGUUAUGUUCAUAGAAUUCAUAUAAGGUGAGGGGCUGUGAAGGAAGGACAGUUUUUGCCUGCCUUCAGUUUCACUUCUUCUCACUGUGUCUCUUCUUGCACAGUAAUACACAGCUGUGUCGUCUGCUGUCAGGCUGUCCAUUUGCAGAUAGAGAAGGCUGUUUGAAUUGUCCCUGGAGGUGGUGAAGCGCCCCUUCACUUUAUCCAAGUAGUAAAUUUUAGAUGACCUUUCAGAUAUAGAUGCCACCCAUUCCAAGCCUUUUCCUGGUGCUUGUCUCACCCAGUACAUGACAUAGCUGCUGAAGGUGAACACAGAGGCUCGGCAGGAGAGGCGGAGGGACUCUCCUGGCCUUUUCAUGUCCCCUCCAGAUUCUUCUAGUCGGACCUCUGAUUGGAUACCUAGAAAGGAAGAGAUCCUAAUGAGACAUUUUGCACACCGUCAAUUGCCAGAAUAUCUAAUUCUUCUUCAUUUGAAAUAAUGGAUUUAUCUCCAACAAUUGCUGAAAAGAAAGCAAGAGGAAGUAAAACUAUCAUUUCCCCUGCCUAGUGCUUGAAGAGGGUUGAGCAAAACCUGGCCCCAGCAAUUCAGGGACUUGUAGUUGAGGAAGAUCGGAUGUUUGCCUGAUUUAAAGAGGAAAUGGUGAGUGAAAAUUUGCAUACCUAUCAAUAUAUAAAAGCAUUACUAAAACCCUUUGGCUCUGAAGGUAAGCUUGGGAUUUGAAAUGAGCAUGUUAUUUCCUAAUGUACAAGUUUAGCAGGUGGGAGCACAACAGAUUUACAUAUCCUUCUCAGAAUAAAAGAGCAAAAAGUAUCUCUGGAGCAUGAAUUUGUUUGGUCUACUACUCAGACUCAACCAUCCCAACAGCCUCGCUUGGACUUGCUUGCAGAUGGAAAGGCAACUCCCAGUCAGAUCGCACACUAUUCCAGAUUUUGCUCAGCAAAAUCUACAGGUCCUGGAUGACUGGUAGCUCUAUGAAUGCUUCCACCUGCUUCUGGAGGCAUCAUGAGGCAAAUGAAAUGGAAAGUAGUGGACCCAAAUAUACCAUGAAAUAUGGAGGCAUCAUGAGGCAAAUGAAAUGGAAAGUAGUGGACCCAAAUAUACCAUGAAAUAUAUUAUGAAAUGAAAACAUUUUCAUGAUACAAUAAGAUAAAAGGAACAAACGGGGAGAAAAAAUACAAAGAAAGAAAGCAGUGCUGCUGCUGCCAAGUUCAGGGAGGAUGCUGAGCCAGCGCUUCUCUUGAGUGACGGCGGCUGUGGCUGUGGCAGCUGCAAUGGAGCAUCCUGUUGCCUUUCCAUGGCAUCUCCAUGGCUGCCGCCUCUAACCUCUCUUGGGCAUCUCAUAGCAGCUACUGGAGAGAAGGAGGAGAUAUACUGUAGUGGCCACUGAGGCUCAGCUCUGUGUGACACAGUGACUCUGAGGGAUAGGUAGAGAGCAGGGCUGCCCUGGAAAGGAAGAAAGGGAGCGAAGUGGAGCACAGAGUCUUUAUUUUCUUUUUAAAAACAUGCCUUCUGUUUUUGCCUCUAAUCUUGAUCCUUUCUUAAAUUUAUUUAUUGGCGUGUGCUUUUCUUUUUGUAAAUCUACCAGGGAAUUAAAUCAAGAUUAAGGGGGUUUCCCGGAGUGGUGGAGGGUGUGUGUGCUGUUUAUUGUUGGGGUAUAAAAAAUGCUUAGGGAGGGGGGACCCAAAAAUGGAGAGUCAAGUUGACGGGGAGUGAGAAAUGUCCCUAUUUUCAUUUGAGGAAUGUUGGAGGGUAUGGCUCUAGCAAUCGGGUUGCUCCUUUGGGACAUGACAUAUUCCUGGGGAUGCACUGAUACAAGGUCCUUGUUGCUGGCCUCUCUUCCAGAUCCACAUGUGCAAGGAAUUCAGCCCUACUCAAGCAUUCAAAGCAAUUGGGGGUGGGGGUUAAAGUAUGUAGAGGGAGUACGGAUGUCUGUGCAGCCCACCCCCAUGCCUUGGUCUCCACCACCCUCGUGCUUCGGAAAGAGGAAUUUAAGCAGGUUUGGCUGAACAUGUUUAUAGCCCUUCCCGUGAUCAGGAAUGCCACAGUAUCAACCAAAUACACUUACACACCUACUUCAGACCUUCCUACUCAAUAUGGAAAGAUAGCAGAACAGCGGGAAGGGAUGGAGCAUAUUUCAUCCUCAUUCCAUGUGUUUCAGAACACCUGAAGAGGGUCACUGUGUCUCUCACAACUGGUCCACGAUACUCCAAGAGCACAGUUCAAAUCCAAGGAUAAACAAUGGGGCCAGCUUCCAAUUAAGGUUUUUGCUUGAACUAACCACUUCAUUUGCUGCAACCAGGAACAUUUUUUCUAAUAAGUUUGCAAAGGAAAGUUUUUGUCUGAGGUUAGAUUUACUUCCUCUCAUUGUGUGCCUUGCACAGUAAUAAACAGCAGUGUCCUCUGGUUUCAAGUUGUUCAUUUGCAAAGACAGCUGGCUGCUUGAAUCAUCCCGGGAAAUGGUGAAUCUUCCUUUGACAGAAUCCGAGUAGUAAGUGGGAGUUGAAGAUGUACCUAUAAGGGCCACCCAUUCCAGGCCCUUUCCAAGAGCUUGUCUCACCCAGCUCAUUGCAUAGCUCCAGAAGUUGAACCCAGAGGCUUGGCAGGAGAGGCGGAGGGAAUAUCCAGGCCUUUUGACACCCCCUCCUGAUUCUUUGAGCUGGAUUUGUGACUGGACACCUGAAAGAAAGACCUACAAUUAAACUGUGGGUUCAUUAUCCACUAUAAUAUAACAGUUUGCCUAUAUGAAAGAAGAACAAAUACCUUUGAGUAUUACUAAAAGGAAAACACCUGGAAGCCAAGGUGUCAUUUUCCCUUCUUUUACUAGGAGAAGGGUUAAGAAGAAAGUGGCAACCCAGGCAGGACACACAGUGGUUGUUUGAGUGGGUAUCACAGGGGCAGGGAACGUAUAUGGCAGGUUCAAACAGGAAGCUGCCUAUGAAUUUGCAUACCUGUCGGAAUAAAAGAGCAGCACAGGCCUUCAGCAACCCAAUCUCAAAAGUCAUAUGUGUGACUUUGGGCUAUCAAAGAAUUGCUGCUGAUUUGCCUGGUGAGGAACAGAGUGGGGAAGUUGGCUCAAGGUAUUUAAGUAAAACUGAAUGGAAUCUACGAAUGAAACUGCUUGCAGAAUCUCUACUCCUGGUGCUUUCAACCAGGACACUCAUUAAAGAUAGUUUAAUAUCCAGCCUUGGGACAUAAUAUUCCAAGAGACUAAGAUCAACAUACGCCAACCUGGUCCCCACUGAUCAUUGUGGACUAUAAUUCCCAUCAGCUCCGGCCAACUCAACCUCCUUCCCCACCCCCCUCAAAACAGAGAGAAGUUUGGCUCAUGUUACAUUGAAUAAGCUUCUGCUGCAGAACAUCUGGCAGAUGACAAGGAAGUGCCUUGGCUGAAUUUUUAUCAGUUGUUUUUCAUUUUGGUGAUUGAAUUAUCAUUUCAAGUUAUUUUUAGAAACUUUGUCAUUUAUUGCCAUUAAAACCACCUUACAUUAGAACUAUUGCUCAGUAUUGUCACUGCUUUUCUUCUUCUAAAAAUAAUGUUUAGGGGUACUCACAUUUUCCUACUGAUAUUGAAAUACUGCCCCUCAAUGAUGCCAAACUUAGAUUCACAAAAUGUUUAGGGGUAUGCAGCCCCCCCAAGAAAAAAAGCACUGUGUAUUGUUAAUAUAAUAAUAAUACCUUUAUUGUCAAUGUACAACCUGUAUACAAUGAAAUUAACCAAGCCUAACCAAGCCUCCCCCCAAAAAAAACACUCAAUCUCAUUGCACUCUGUUUGCUUAUCACACAACACACCACCUCAUAAGUCAGUUGUGCUAUGUUAUUUUCUGUUCAACACCCUGACAGCCCACGGAUAGAAACUAUUUUUUAGCCUGUUGCUAUGACUGAUUAUACUUCUAUAUCUCCUGCCCGAGGGUAGAAGAUUAAAGAGGUGCUGGCAGGGGUGUGAGUCAUCGCUGAAAUUUUUUUUUGUUCUCCUAAGGCAAUGAUGCCCUGCAAUGUCAUCUAGUGGACUCAAGGGACAGCCCAUGAUAUCAUGUCUUGUAUUCACCACCGUUUGUAGAGACUUUCUGUCCGUGGCUGUCAAGCCAGCAUACCACACUUUGAUACAAUAUGAAAGUUAAUAUAAUAGUUAUAUAAUAGUUAUUGCAUAAUGUCUUCCUUGGUUAUUUCUGCUUUGUGGGUUUCUUAUUCAUGGUUCUCUGCUGCCCCCUUUGGGAUCUCUUUACUAAUGUGAAUGUGGGGAACAGGUUUUUUUCCCCUUAGGUCUUCUGGGAUGUCUCAUACUGUUGUCUCUUCCACACUUCCACUUGUUUCACCACUUUCCCCCAGGAAAACCUGCUGUUUACUGUUGAAUAGGAGCAAACGUCAAUGGGGUUUUCUUCUGUGGAAUGACAUUUGUGGUAAAAAAUGGAAUUCCUUUGGGAAAGUGGUGUGGCCAACCAGACACACCUCAUACUGUUGCCUCUUCCACACUUCAACUUGUUUCACCACUUCACCGCAGGAAAAGAUCAAUGGGGUUUUCUUCUGUAGAAUGAUAUUUGUGGUAAAGAAUGGACUUUCUUUGGGAAAGUGGUGUGGCAAACCAGAAUUGCACCCCUUAGUCCUAUGCCUAGAAAGCAUGGGACACGCAGAAAACCUCUUAGACCCAUCCUUUCUAAGUGCUGGACAAACAGAAGUGUGGACAAGCCCCAUGCCUCUCACACAGUAGUACAAGGCCGUGUCUUCUGCUCUCAGACUGUUCAUCUGCAGAUGGAAGUUGGAGUCACCUUUAGAGGCCCAUAAUUGAACUUGCAUUGCAGAAGAAUAAAAACUGUACCCAGGAGUGGGAUCAUAAUACCAAAUAAGCCAUUCCAAUCCUUUGCCAGGUUAUUUCCAGCAUCUGCUCUGAAGGAGCUUCUGGGGUUUUUGUACAAGCAGGAAAGCAGAAGUUGUCACUGUGUCUCUUGCACAGUAAUACAGGGCAGAGUCCUCAGGCUUCAAGCUGCUCAUUUGCAAAUAGGCUGAGGUUUGAGAAUUGUCUCUGGAGAUUGUGAAUCGUCCUUGAACUUUGGAAUUAUAUAAUUGUUUGCUUCCAGAAGGUCUGCUAACUUCAGCCACCCACUCCAGUCCUUUCCCAGGAGCCUGACGAAUCCAGUUGAUAGCAUAACUAGUAAAGUUGAAUCCUGAAGCCUUGCAGGAGAGGCGGAGGGAGCCUCCAGGAGCUACAGCACCUCCUCCAGUCUCCACCAACUGAACCUCUGAGUGACAGCCUAAAAAAUAGAAGAAAGAGCAUCAGGGUAUACCUGUGAAGAAAAGUGUGCAAGUUCCCAGAGUUUCCAGUGAGAGAAAUAUUACCUGGGAGAACUGUCAAGAAGAGAAGGAGGUUUAACCAAAGAAUCAUAUUAGUUUGGAUCACCUUCAUGACUGGUUCAGUCUUAGCUGGCUGGAGGCUGCAGGACUGAAUUGGAAAGGACAGCUUUUAAGGCAAUGAAGUGGUUCAACUGAUUUGCAUGUGCUUCAUAUAAUUAACUCCUUUUCUCUGAACUCUUAAUUCACGUUUCUUCCCCAGCUAAAUGGCCAUAGAGAAGAAGAGGAGCAAUUUGCCUUUGUUGGCAAUGAUUUUGGGGGUGAGCCUUCCUUAUUGGGUGAAUCUCACCUGGCAGCAAGUGGAGGUGUGUAGUUUUCAGAUGAGAAAGUGUAACCUUUCAUCAAUGUUCAUUAUGGACAGUUUGUUCCAGAGCAGCUCCUCAGGAUUGAGUCAAAGGCUCCUUUUAGGUCCAGGAACGCUGUACAAAGUUUUUGAUUAAGAACACUAGAGUUUAUUUAAACAUAUAUACAACCUGAGCCUGUGAUGGAGGGGCUCACAACAUUGACACCUGAAGAGGAUAUUACUUCUCCCAUAACUGUACAGAAUCUAAUCCAUCAUCCCAGUUGAUGUUUAGCUCCAUACAUACAUAGGUAACAUGAGAACCUUUCCCCAGGGAAUGCUUUUGCUCAAUUUUUACAGUACCUCUUUAUUAUUCUCAUUGAAUUCUUAAUUUCCAUUGGGUUUGCAAGCUUGCUUGCUUGCUUGCUUAUUUAUUUAUUUAUUUAUUUAUUGUGAUUCAAUAGAACAAACUAUCUUUUCAUAGAAAUGAUAGGUUCCAGCAUGGAAGCAUCUCAUACAUUUUCAUCUUUGCUAAGGAAGCAAAACCAUUAUAUUUGGCUGGAUGCACAGAAACAUAUAUCUGGAAUAGCCUGACACGGGAAUCGAGUCCACCAUCAUGAUUACCUGCAUACAUACAGAAUACAUGAGAACCUUUACCUAAUACAUGAGAACCUUUACCUAAAAAAGCCUCAAUAUUUCUUUAAUUUUCUCAUUGAAUUCUUUUGCAUUGCGUUUGCAAAGUAAUUUAUGCAUUGUGAUUGAAUAGAAUCAACUUUCUGCAUUCAGAAUCAGUUUCUUCUUUUUGUUCAGAGUCCCAAUUGCGGUGUGUCACUGUGCUAUCUCAAGCACAUAAAUACACGGCUGAGUCUGCAGCUGUCAGGGAGUUCAGUUGGAAGGAGAACUUGUUCUUGGAGUUGUCUGAAGAAAUGGUUACAUGGCUCUGAAGAGAAGAAGCAAACCAUUUCCCCCCAUUAUAGGGGUAUAUUCUUGCAACCCACUCUAGACCUUUGCCAGCAGGCUGACGGAUCCAGUUCCAAACAGAACUUGAAUCAGUGAUGGAGACACCAGUAACUUUACAGAGCAGACUGAGGUUCUCUCCAGGCCUCACUGUUCCUGGACCAGAAGAUACAGAGCUGAACAUCAGAAAGGACCCUUGAAAGAGAUAACUAUAAUGAAUUGAUCAUCAUCUAAUGAACAUCAUCUAAUCACUGCAUGGAAUCAACCUAUAUUUUUGAACUUCCCAUAGAAUAUACACUUACAUUUGUGAAAGGUCACCAAAGAAAACAAAAACAGCAGGAACUUCAUGGUUUUAACAAAGAAGUGUCCUAGUGAGGCAGGAAAAAGGAGGAUUUGGACAUGGAAGAAAGUCAGUAAUUUAUACUGAGGGGACCUCUUUUGCUGAGAGUUCCUCAAGACCACCUCCAGCCUGCUUGAGUGAUUUGCAUGUGUCCUUCCUUAGCAAGAUAUGCUAUAUAAAGGGACUGUGAGAAACUGGGCUGAGGUCAGGGCUGGCCUGCUUUCCCCUCAGGUGUGUUUCCAAUAUGUUAACAAACAUGUUUACUGUAAAAUCAGUUGCGUGGCGAUACCCGCCCCCUCCCACAGAUGGAAUAAAUAAAGACACAGGACACCAGAAUUUAGGUUAAUGGGAGAAAAAUGGCCACAACUUUGUUGAUUACAGGUAAGAGCGGUAUUGACUUUAGGCAUUGGCCCUAUCAGACUAACCGGUAUAACCGGGAAGGGUUAAGCACCAACAAGGGGAGCCCCCGAGAUGCACAUCCCUAGGCGCUCCCCGAGGGGUUACCGCUCGGGAGCGUGCUUUAGGCCCUAGCCUCCAUAGGUUUCGGACGAGUCGACGCCCCCCCCGGAGUCCUUUAACGAACUACCCUUCAACAUUUGGGGGAGGUGAUGGCAUUCCUCUCCCCAUCUCAUUUGCAUAAUAAUACCCCUGUCAAUGCCUAACCGCCCAAACCAAAGGUGUUGUGACAUUUUGCUAUGAGGUAGGCGAAAAAACCAAGUGGCUUCCAAAAUAUAGCCAAUUAGCCAAAUGGAAAAACUCCUACCAGGCCCCUUGCGGCGACCAGCUGAAGCCCAUAGCAAAGUCCAGAUGAGAACCUAAAGGGCGGGAGGGUGGGAAACCGCAGCUGCUGAAAGAAAAGAAAGGGGUAAGCAUGGGCUGCCCCGACCUUAAAUGCCCCUUACAAGUACCGCCCCCGCCGCCAGCCAAUUGGCUGGAGCAGUGAAUGAUGAAUCUUAAUGACCCCGGGAUUCCCCAAGUCCCGCGGGGCUGCAGCCAGCCCCGCGAGGGUGUGAAUGGGGCGUGAGUCCCCAACCCCCCCCUCCGUAUGUCAGGAGUGGCUUAUUAUAGAUUUUGAAGCACAUAAUUUUCAAGAAAUCAUGCUUUGGAUAUCUGCCUUGCUUUCUGAACCAUUUUGUUAGCUACAGUUCUUUUAAUGUCAACUGUCCAGCCAAUUCAGAAGAAGGGGCCAAAGAAGGGGCUUUAUGAGAUCACUUAGAAGGAUUUCAGUCAAAGGUCCACUCUGAAUGAAUUGAAGGAUAAGGCUCUUCUAUCCAGCCUGUGUUUCAGCUGGUAAAGUUGAACACACUCAUAACUUUCACAGGAACAUGAGAUCCCUCUCAGGCUGCCUAAACCCUUCUCUGCAUAAGUUUUCUGGUCCACAGAGCCAGCCCACCAAUGACUUGGGGUGAGUCAUCUGCCUUAUGUGGCACCUAAUGGAAGUGGUAGGAAAGCUGCCUCACUGCUGCUUAAACCUCAAUGACCUUCAUGGCUGAUUGGAACUCUGGUUUCCUAGACCCUAGUCCAUCAUUCUAACCACUACACCAUGCAUUCUCUGCAGUGUCGUGUCAUCCCUGAUCAUUGGCCAUGCAGAGAAAAGAAACCAAUUAUUCACCAGGGGAAGGAGGAGAGGGAUGGGGACAGAGGAUCCUUCCUCUGCAUCUCCUCUUGGAAUCUGCAUGCUGACUUGGGUGGUGGGGGCUUCAUCCAUGCUUGCAUAGCUCAGCUCAGCCCUUCCUUCAAUGCAAGACAUGGAGUUGGAGCCACCCCUUGAAGUUCAGACAGGGAUCUCAAUCCUGUUGCUUGUGUCUGAUCUGCAUGUAUGACCUUCAAACCUCUCAGCAGUGCUUCUGUCCAUAUGCCAAGGACAGUGGAUUUAUCAAGUUGGAUUUAUUGCCUGUCUACAAAGGUGGUUUGAAGAGCAUGUCAAACAUGGAAGCAUUGACCAUAUGAACCUUUAUUACCAUAAAUGUUUUGUUGUUCUUGUUGUUGUUCAUUUAUCCACCAUCGCUAUUAUAUAUGGAACAUACUUAACAUACAUACGUACAUACAUACAUACAUACAUACAUACAUUGUUAUGUAAGGAAGCCUCACAGAAUCAAGAAAAAUCCUUCCCCCUCCCCUAAGUAGUUUCUCUUAGGGAUAAAGAGACCCCAAGUGGAAAGGGAAUUUCCCUGUCAGCUGCUCAAGAAAGGAAUGGUUAGUGAUUAAGGCUUGUAUUUAGUUCUGUGAAACAAAUAACAAAUAUUCAAUAUUGCACAAAAUGCAUAUUUGCGACCAAGGACACUGCUUUGUCCCCAUGACUGAGAGGGCCGGGGUCACCCAGUUUAAGUACACCAUGCACACAUAAAUUUAUUAUUUGUAUAGGUAGCUUAUUGAGGAAAGAUGAUCUUUUGAAUGGGAGAAAAGGUCGGGAUUUUUAAUGUGGUGAGUUUCCUUUUGAAGAGGAAUUCUGCCCGCCCCCAUAUUUGCAUGAGCCCCUCCUCCAAUGACAGAUGGAAUAUAAAGUGGCUCUUACAAGCAAAAUGGUGUAGGCUUUUCCAGGACUUCCUUAUUUGUCAUUGAGAAUGCCUGGACAGAGAGAUGGUUUCCCCUCCUCAGCACUUGCUCUUUGGUACAUCGCUGCUCUGGGCAUUUAUUCAGGCAUGUCUGCAAAGUUUCUGUCCCACAAAACUGACUCAGCAGAAAGAGGGGUGGCUCCAAAUCCCUCCUCUUUAUCCUGCCUGCUGGGACUGCAUAAAUAGAGAGAGAGGGUGAAGCUCCUGAAAGCCCAGAGUAUAUGAUUGCAUAACCUCCAAGAUUCCUCAGAUGAAAAUAAGGACAUUCAUCACUCCCUAACCCUACAACUGAACCUCCUUGACCCCCUUUUAUUCUCCCCUAUGUAGUGCAUUUCCUGACAGAAGAACAGCCAGGUCCACCACACAGAAGACCUAUCCUCCACUGUCACUUCCGGGGUGGCGCCACCGGCACUGGUGGACUCCCUCUGAACUGGAGGGACUAGCUCCGCGGACAACGGGUCUUCUCCGCUACGGCGAGCGGGGACCCUCUUAAAAAUCACAGGCGGAUGAAGCCUGUGACCAUGGAACUCGGCGGGCACCUUUAGCGCCCCCCCAACCCACUAAGGAACCCACUAACGGGCUCCGAAGUGAAGAGGGGGAAGUGGCGCGGUGCUGUGAGUCAACUGCUAUUUCCGUGGAGCGAAGCCGCAUAGCUGUUGCCGGAGAGCGCUGCCUUUUUCCUGGGACAAUUUGGACUUUAAAAUAAGCACCCGUGAGUACUUAGACUUUGAACAAUUGGACAUCAAAUAAGGACUUGCGAGUAGAAAAGAAUCGGACUUUAAAAAUUUACUUGAAUUUGGUACGGAACAGGAAGGUCUAAACAGGAAGUCAUCCUUCCGUUCUUUUGUAAACAGAAUAAAGCAAAGGCAACUUAAACUAGAGCUUAGAAAAUCGCUUUUAAAAGAUUGGAUUUCACCAUUUAAAAUUGUGGAACCCCCCUUCGACAGCAGGAGAAGAGGGGAUCUUUUGGACUGUUUAAAGUGACUUUAAAGUGAAGUAACUUUCCUCCGUCCUGAUCCUGGAGUGGGCUGUCAGGACUGACGUGUGAAGUUCAUUAACCAAAGACAAGUGUUUUUGACAGAUGGCUAAAAGAAGAGAAACCUAGUGAUUCCACUGUUCCCUUUCGCAUUUUAAAGGAUUAUAUAUGGACAAAGUAUCUUUAAAAAGGAUACUUUGUUGCAAGAAUAAAUAGAAGUCUUCCCCCUAGGGGGAGUCUGUGAAAUUGUAACUGUGAAACUGUAACUAACUCCAGGGAGUCGACAGCUGUUACAGAUUACAACCGUGGGAACAAGUAUCUGACCUUGUGGGACAAUGUAUUCAGAAGCCUUCUUGUAUGCUCUCUAUAAAACAAACGAUCUACUGGAACAAUUACACGAGAAGGUGAAUUGGAUGGCGACUUCGACUAGAAAUUUUGAACAGACAGUGGGAAACUUUGAACAGACAGUGGGAAAAUAUGUGGAGCCCACUCAGGAUUUAAAUCAGGAGUGUGUCUUGACAGAACAGGAGUUUUUGACAUUAAAUCAGGAGUGUGUUUUGACAGAACAGGCCCAACAGGAAUAUGAUUUUUGGAUUUGACAAAUGAACUUGGAAAAAGCCAUAUCUGGAAAGGAAAAGUUUGGCUUGGUUUGGAAAUGGGGGGCUGGAUUGACCCCCCUAUGCUGGGAUGUUUGGACUUUUCAAAUAUGGCAACGGGCCGUGAGAUGUUUGGGACUGUGGGGGCUCUCAAUUUUGGAGGGCCUUUGAAACAUGCUUUUAAAUACUACAUGGAAUUCAUUGUUGAACAUGGAAAAGGGGCUGAUCUGUUGAGAAGGGUUAAAAACAUUGUCAAGCUGGAGUUACCACGCGCAAGAGACAAGGGAAAAUACAGUUACAAAUAUGAAGAAGAGCCACGGAAGGGUCAUGGAAGAGACUUGAGGGCCUCGGACAUAAGGUUGCCAGGUUAAUGGGCUAGAUUGACGGGAAUAAGGACUGACAAAACCCGGAACCAGGAGGAAAGGGACGCUGGAUGAAGAUUGGAUCUGUUUAUACCUCUUUUUUCUACUAUUAGAACUGUUUUAUAAAAUUGAUGAAUGAUAGGAAAAUGUUGGAAUGAAAAUACUUGGCUUUAGCAAAGAUGUUUAAAGAAUUAUGAAAGAAUAUUAUCAUCAGGAGAAGUUGGUAAGGAUAAGAUUUAAGUUUUAAGUGUUAAGGUUUAUUUUAUUAUAGAAAGAUAAGGUCAAGGAUUUGCUGGGAUAAUUAAUAACUAGGAUACAAAGAAAGGGAGGAGGAGGAGGUCUAAGAAAGAAGGUAAUGACAGUUAAGGAUUUGAAAAUAAUGAAUUUGUUUUUAAAUGUUUUUAAAGUUUUGUGAUUUUUGUAUUCUUUUUUUCUUUUUUUCUGUCAUUUUUUUCUCAUUUGGAAUUUUUUCUUAUAUGGUGGGAAGGGGUUGGUUUUUUUUUCUUUUUUCUACUUUGUUAACUAUUUUUAUUCUUUGUAUUCUCUUCUGCUUCUCUUUUUUUUUGUAACAUUUUGAAAAUCUCAAUAAAUAUCUUUAAAAAAAAAAAAAGAACAGCCAGGGGCACCACACAGAAGACCCACCCUCCACUGUCCUGAGAAAGCCCCUUAAUCAUUUUUAUUUUAUUGUAUUGUAUUCUUUGAUAGAUUUACAAAAAGAAAAACACAACCAAUAAAUAAAUUUUAAAAAGUGGCAAGAUCAUAUGUGGACAUACAAAACAUUCUUUAAAUUAAAAAAGAUCAAGACUUUUUAUUUAUUUUUUAAUUAAAAAAUAUCAAGUCUUCCCCUCCCCAGUGCAAUUCCAAUUGAAAGUUAGGAAAAGGUGGCAAUUGCCUAUUCAGAUUUUUGCUUGAACUAUCCAGUUUAUUCCCCACAAACAGGAAAGAAAUGCUUUUAAGACUUCAGAUGAAAGUUUUUGUCUGAGCCUACAUUGAGUUCCUCUCACUAUGUCUCUCUUGCACAGUAAUGCACGACUGUGUCCUCAGGUUUAAGGUUGAGCAUGGCAUUUCCAGAUUACUUUAUUCCCAGUCCAGGAGGACCACAACAUGCUGGUGGCAGAAGCUGCUCCUGAAUAUCUUCCACUGUAAUCAGAAUUCAUGAAAGAACAGAAAUCUUGAAGGGAAGUAUAAAGGCCUGGGAGAGAAACAAAGGAAUGGGCAGGAUGAAUUUGCUUUGAACGGGCUUACUUUGUUGGAACAAGAUGAUUAUGGGACAAUCCCCAACAGGCUAGAGAUGGGCCAAAGAAGAACAAAUGUUCCCUGUAGUAACAGCUAAUGUUGUUCCCUUGCUUUGUCUGCUCUGUCCUGAUAGAUUCUGGUUUGUGGUGCUUUGAUGCCCCCUCUGGAAUCCUCACUUAAGAAAUGCAAUGAAGGGUUUUUGGCUAAGGUCUAAUGGGAAGCCUCUCACUGUGUAUCUUGCACAGUAAUACAUUGCUGUGUCUUCUGCUGCCAGGCUGUUCAUUUGCAGAUAGAGCAGGCUGUUUGAAUUGUCCCUGGAAAUGGUGAAGCGCCCCUUCACUUUAUCCAAGUAGCGAAUGUCAGCUGAAGCACUAGAUAUUUGUGCCACCCAUUCCAAGCCUUUUCCUGGUGCUUGUCUCACCCAGUGCAUGUAAUAGCUGAGGAAGGUGAACCCGGAGGCUCUGCAGGAGAGGCGGAGAGACUCUCCAGGCGUUUUAAUAUCUCCUCCUGAUUCUGUGAGCUGGAUUUCUGACUGUACACCUGAAAGAUAGA